rnacentral:lncRNA from 1 species
GAGGAUUGUUUGUGACAACAAUACCAAUAAUCCUCACGAUCUGGGUUUCCUGCAGUUGGAGAGGAGGGGGUUACCAGCUUCGACUUGGGGGUGGCCGUCCUGGCUCUGCGGUUACUUGGACUCUCUGAGCCUGGAAAAGCGAUUGGCACAGCACCUGACGUGCAGUAGUCUCUUCACUGAUGAUUGCGGCUGUGACCGUUUCUUGCACUUUACAAGGAUGCCCAGAUGCCCCCGAAGAUCCUGGGCCUCUGUGCAGGGAGCCGGGAGCAGAGAUGACCAAGAUCCAGUCUCUGACCUCAAGGAGCUCAUGGGCUAGUCGGGGAGACAGACCCCCAAACAGACAACCGCGGUAUUUGCUAAAAGCCGUAAUGGAGGCAUGUGCAUCCUGUGUCGAAGCAGAAGAGAACCCGUCCAGCUCUGGGAGGGGCUGGGGAGGCUGCACGUGGAAGGGCUUUUGAGCAGCAUCUUUAAAAAAAUGUUAAUA